rnacentral:rRNA from 1 species
UAGUACGAGAGGACCGGGGUGGACGGACCGCUGGUGUGCGGGUUGUUCCGCCAGGAGCAUCGCCCGGUAGCCAUGUCCGGACCGGAUAAGCGCUGAAAGCAUCUAAGCGCGAAGCCGACCUCAAGAUGAGACUUCCCACCGGGUAACCGGGUAAGACCACAGGAAGACUACCUGUUUGAUAGGCGCCAGGUGUAAGCACAGCAAUGUGUUCAGCUAAGGCGUACUAAUGGUCGAGGGCUUGACCAA